UUAAGUUAUUAAGGGCGCACGGUGGAUGCCUUGGCACUAGAAGCCGAUGAAGGACGUUACUAACGACGAUAUGCUUUGGGGAGCUGUAAGUAAGCUUUGAUCCAGAGAUUUCCGAAUGGGGAAACCCAGCAUGAGUUAUGUCAUGUUAUCGAUAUGUGAAUACAUAGCAUAUCAGAAGGCACACCCGGAGAACUGAAACAUCUUAGUACCCGGAGGAAGAGAAAGAAAAUUCGAUUCCCUUAGUAGCGGCGAGCGAAACGGGAAGAGCCCAAACCAACAAGCUUGCUUGUUGGGGUUGUAGGACACUCUAUACGGAGUUACAAAGGACGACAUUAGACGAAUCAUCUGGAAAGAUGAAUCAAAGAAGGUAAUAAUCCUGUAGUCGAAAAUGUUGUCUCUCUUGAGUGGAUCCUGAGUACGACGGAGCACGUGAAAUUCCGUCGGAAUCUGGGAGGACCAUCUCCUAAGGCUAAAUACUCUCUAGUGACCGAUAGUGAACCAGUACCGUGAGGGAAAGGUGAAAAGCACCCCGGAAGGAGAGUGAAAUAGAACCUGAAACCGUGUGCUUACAAGUAGUCAGAGCCCGUUAAUGGGUGAUGGCGUGCCUUUUGUAGAAUGAACCGGCGAGUUACGAUUUGAUGCAAGGUUAAGCAGUAAAUGUGGAGCCGUAGCGAAAGCGAGUCUGAAUAGGGCGUUUAGUAUUUGGUCGUAGACCCGAAACCAGGUGAUCUACCCUUGGUCAGGUUGAAGUUCAGGUAACACUGAAUGGAGGACCGAACCGACUUACGUUGAAAAGUGAGCGGAUGAACUGAGGGUAGCGGAGAAAUUCCAAUCGAACCUGGAGAUAGCUGGUUCUCUCCGAAAUAGCUUUAGGGCUAGCCUCAAGUGAUGAUUAUUGGAGGUAGAGCACUGUUUGGACGAGGGGCCCCUCUCGGGUUACCGAAUUCAGACAAACUCCGAAUGCCAAUUAAUUUAACUUGGGAGUCAGAACAUGGGUGAUAAGGUCCGUGUUCGAAAGGGAAACAGCCCAGACCACCAGCUAAGGUCCCAAAAUAUAUGUUAAGUGGAAAAGGAUGUGGCGUUGCCCAGACAACUAGGAUGUUGGCUUAGAAGCAGCCAUCAUUUAAAGAGUGCGUAAUAGCUCACUAGUCGAGUGACACUGCGCCGAAAAUGUACCGGGGCUAAACAUAUUACCGAAGCUGUGGAUUGUCCUUUGGACAAUGGUAGGAGAGCGUUCUAAGGGCGUUGAAGCAUGAUCGUAAGGACAUGUGGAGCGCUUAGAAGUGAGAAUGCCGGUGUGAGUAGCGAAAGACGGGUGAGAAUCCCGUCCACCGAUUGACUAAGGUUUCCAGAGGAAGGCUCGUCCGCUCUGGGUUAGUCGGGUCCUAAGCUGAGGCCGACAGGCGUAGGCGAUGGAUAACAGGUUGAUAUUCCUGUACCACCUAUAAUCGUUUUAAUCGAUGGGGGGACGCAGUAGGAUAGGCGAAGCGUGCGAUUGGAUUGCACGUCUAAGCAGUAAGGCUGAGUAUUAGGCAAAUCCGGUACUCGUUAAGGCUGAGCUGUGAUGGGGAGAAGACAUUGUGUCUUCGAGUCGUUGAUUUCACACUGCCGAGAAAAGCCUCUAGAUAGAAAAUAGGUGCCCGUACCGCAAACCGACACAGGUAGUCAAGAUGAGAAUUCUAAGGUGAGCGAGCGAACUCUCGUUAAGGAACUCGGCAAAAUGACCCCGUAACUUCGGGAGAAGGGGUGCUCUUUAGGGUUAACGCCCAGAAGAGCCGCAGUGAAUAGGCCCAAGCGACUGUUUAUCAAAAACACAGGUCUCUGCUAAACCGUAAGGUGAUGUAUAGGGGCUGACGCCUGCCCGGUGCUGGAAGGUUAAGAGGAGUGGUUAGCUUCUGCGAAGCUACGAAUCGAAGCCCCAGUAAACGGCGGCCGUAACUAUAACGGUCCUAAGGUAGCGAAAUUCCUUGUCGGGUAAGUUCCGACCCGCACGAAAGGCGUAACGAUUUGGGCACUGUCUCAACGAGAGACUCGGUGAAAUCAUAGUACCUGUGAAGAUGCAGGUUACCCGCGACAGGACGGAAAGACCCCGUGGAGCUUUACUGUAGCCUGAUAUUGAAAUUCGGCACAGCUUGUACAGGAUAGGUAGGAGCCUUUGAAACGUGAGCGCUAGCUUACGUGGAGGCGCUGGUGGGAUACUACCCUAGCUGUGUUGGCUUUCUAACCCGCACCACUUAUCGUGGUGGGAGACAGUGUCAAGCGGGCAGUUUGACUGGGGCGGUCGCCUCCUAAAAGGUAACGGAGGCGCUCAAAGGUUCCCUCAGAAUGGUUGGAAAUCAUUCAUAGAGUGUAAAGGCAUAAGGGAGCUUGACUGCGAGACCUACAAGUCGAGCAGGGUCGAAAGACGGACUUAGUGAUCCGGUGGUUCCGCAUGGAAGGGCCAUCGCUCAACGGAUAAAAGCUACCCCGGGGAUAACAGGCUUAUCUCCCCCAAGAGUUCACAUCGACGGGGAGGUUUGGCACCUCGAUGUCGGCUCAUCGCAUCCUGGGGCUGUAGUCGGUCCCAAGGGUUGGGCUGUUCGCCCAUUAAAGCGGUACGCGAGCUGGGUUCAGAACGUCGUGAGACAGUUCGGUCCCUAUCCGUCGUGGGCGUAGGAAAUUUGAGAGGAGCUGUCCUUAGUACGAGAGGACCGGGAUGGACAUACCUCUGGUGUACCAGUUGUCGUGCCAACGGCAUAGCUGGGUAGCUAUGUGUGGACGGGAUAAGUGCUGAAAGCAUCUAAGCAUGAAGCCCCCCUCAAGAUGAGAUUUCCCAACUUCGGUUAUAAGAUCCCUCAAAGAUGAUGAGGUUAAUAGGUUCGAGGUGGAAGCAUGGUGACAUGUGGAGCUGACGAAUACUAAUCGAUCGAAGACUUAAUCAA
rnacentral:rRNA from 2 species